rnacentral:tRNA from 1 species
GGGGACUUGGUGUAGCCCGGUGGCACAGCAGGCUCCAGACCUGUCGGUCGGGGGUUCAAUAUGGAAUGCCAACAGCGCGUUUCAUGGUCAUAUCCCUCAGUCCCCA